UUUUUGUUUUAAAGAAUUAGCCGAGCCCAUAUGUGAAGCCCACAUGUAUAUAAGGUCAUUUUCUUAGUAAUAUCAGUAUAGCUUAAGUUUAGGGUUUUCUCACUUGGUAUCCUCGUCUCCUACCUCUCCACACUCCGCAGCCAUGGCAGAGCAGACCGAGAAGGCUUUUCUUAAGCAACCAAAGGUUUUUCUAAGAUUUGGGGGCGGAACGCUUCAUAUCAAGAGGAGACACAAGGGGCACCACUAUUGGAGAACACUGGUGGACCGGCUUCUUCUUUAAAGGAGGGGGAUCAAAAUGAUGUGAAUAUGAAGCGCCUGUCUCCUGACAAUGAUAUUGCUAAGUCAAACCUAAUAGAAGAAAUUGACAAUUGGGGUAGGUUAGUGGAGCCUCAAGAUGCAUCACCAGCCUCAAGAAGCACCAAUCUCAAAACACCAGUCUUUGAGAACACCGGCGACUAAUACAUUAUUUUAGUAUAAGGACACAAAGUUUUAUGUAAGCUAUUAACAUACCUUUUUCCCUGAAGAAAUUCUGAACUUGGGGUAACCUUCUAUCAACUUUUCCACUCUCUUUUUAAGUAUACGAACAUCCUACAUUAUAAUUAGACAAUUAACAAUUUAUGCACAUAAUGUUUUUAUUGUAUUAAAUUUAAUUUAUGUUAUAACAUAUCUAACCUCAUCAUUUAUUACUUGUCGAAAGUGAACAGAGAUGCAGAACUUGUUGUCUUCAACAAUGGCUCCUUUUAUGCCUUUUGUCUUGUCUUUCAGAGCCUUUAGUAUCUAAACAAAAACACAUUACAAAUAUUUAAAAAAAAAUCUCAAGUUAAAGCUAUAAGUGCAGGAAGUGAAGUCAGUAUCUAGCUACCUCUUCAAUCUUUGGAAGAAACUCUUGAGCUGGUCGAAAGUGAACAACUUCAUUCCCCUGUAGAAAAAAGAAAGUCACAAAUAUAGAAAAGAAAAAUCAAAAGAACUUCAAAGAACACUAACUAAUUAGUAACCUUUUCAUCAGUGGUUCUAGCUUAUCACAAAUAUGUUGACAUUUAUUUUAGUGUUGCUUAUCAUAGUUUUUUUUCUCUUUUGAAUUAAUGAGGGGGAUCAAAUUGAUUUGAAUAUGCAACACCAGUCUCCUGACAAUGAUAUUGCCAAAUCGAACCAUAUAGAAGAACUUGACAAUUCAGGCAGGUUAGCGGAGCCUCAAGGAGCACCAGUUUUCGAGAACACCGGUAGUGUGGCCUCUUUUCAGUUAGCAAUGUACAAGGAAGUCCUCAAAAUCUUCCCAUUGUGAGAAGAUCUGCAAUCUGGGAACCCCAUAUGUGAAAAUAAAUAUAAUAUAUAGUUUUUUUUUUUGGAAAUAAUAUAUAAUUUUUUAUGUAUAUUUUUUAAUUUUUUACAAAGUUUAACUUUUAUGCAGAUUGUAUAUUAAUGUAUUGCUAAAUAAAAAUGUUUCUCGUGUAAUGUAUAUAUGAGAAUAUGGGUCCGAGUUUGGGGGCGGAACGCUUCAUAUCAAGAGGAGACACAAGGGGCACCACUAUUGGAGAACACUGGUGGACCGGCUUCUUCUUUAAGAACAAAAUUAUGUUAUGUGCUCUAAUUUAACCAAAUUUACGGUUUGGGAAUUACCCCACUAACUAUGUAAAAUUUGAAAUUAUAAUAUCUAAAUUAUACUAUCAAUAAAAGUCAAACUCACCUUAAAAGGAAACCUUUCUUUC